ensembl:lncRNA
AGACUAUUUAACGCUCUCUGCCUGCCUCAGUCCCAGCCCAGGCUGACGGAUCCACCUCACUUUGUGUCUUCUGCUGCUCUUAAGAGACUAAUGAGGAAAUUUUCCUGUGACUGCUUCACUUGUGCGCUCCCUCUCUGCAUUGAGCAGCUAAUGCCAGUGAUACGUUUUCCAGUCCGCCAGCGAUGUGUCUGCUUUAUGGCCAGUGAGAUGAUGGGACAGAGGGAUGAGGCAUUAAUAGGAAGGAGACAGGAGCAAGAGACUGAGCAAAAUGCAGAAAUGACUUGAAAACCUAAGGGGAGGGAAGCCAGCGAGAGACAUUUCUGUCUGUUGAACACGAUCGAUGCCUGCUGACAUCAAUCACUGCAAGCUGGGUGCACUGAUGGAUGUUUCCUCCCUGUCUGCAGCGAAGACAAAUGGGUGUGGGCAGGGAACGCCUCGGCCACUGCAUGGAACCCAAGGGAAGGCAGUCCAGGCUGGGGAAGGCACAGAGCAGCCACUCUCAGGUGGCCCAGAGGACUGAGACAUCAUUGAUUAGAUACGUUCUUAAUUAAUUUUUUGAAAUUGCUACAGAUCAUUGCUGGAAGAAGAUGAUUUGUCAAAAGCGGUCCCUUUUGCGGGAACUCAGCGGCUGCAGAGAAACCUCCUGGUAGGUUCCUGAGCUCCGGGAAGGGCUCUGAUGGAAAAGGCAAGGAUCCAGGCUCCUGCAGAGCCCCAUCCUGCCAUGUCCCCCAGCCCUAUGGGGGUAAGAGGCUGAAAAGCUGUGUUUUUUUUCCAUGAGAACUCCCAUAGCAAAAGCACAGAGUGUAUCCGGGAACAAAGCAUCUGAAUCCGACUGAUUCGUUUUGCAUUGAAUAACACAUUACCAUCCGUUCGAACCAAAAGAGGGGAAAUUUAGACUAGCUAUAAGGAAAAGGUUUUUCGUGAUAGGAGUGAUGUGGCAUCGGCACAGGUUGCAGAGAGGUGGUGGGUGCCCCAUCCAUGGAGACACCUCAGGUCAGGCUGGACCGGGCUCUGAGCACCCGAUGGAACUGCAGAAGCCCCUGUUCAUUGCAGAAGAGUUGGACCAGAUGGCUGUGAAAUGUCCCUUCUAACUCAAACCAUUCUGUGUUUCUAUGAUUCAAUGAUCAAGUGCAAGUGAGCACUUCUGCUUGCUUAUGCAAAAUAAAUACACAAAACAAGAACUUUCUCAGAUGGAAAAGCAUUUAAAAAGCUCCAGAGCCCUUGGUGUUCUUUGUUUUGUACAAAACAAGAAAAAGCUCUCCUUCCCUCCUUCCUUCAUCCACACCCUUUGAUUUGUCUGAGCUUACAGUGACAGCUGUGGAAUCCCCCCAGAGGUGUCGGUACAUCAGAGGAACCAGGACCAGGAGUUAAAGACAUUUCUCUUGCUUUAUGGCUGCUGUGGGAUCCUGGUCCAAAUCCUCUUUCUUCCAGGCCACAUGUAUUCUCAGUACAACAGUUCCAGAGACUCAAAUGCUGCAGUUUCCCUAUGCUGGCAGAGCACAGAGCUGAGAACUGGGCUUGUAGUCCUCUCCAUCACAGCGCAUUGCCCAGCCAGACGUCCCCGGGCCUCCUGAACCACAUCACUGCUGCGGGGCCCACCCAAGGAUGGCUGACAUUUAAACAUUCACUCUCAGACCAAAAUUGCCCGUUCCUCCCCAGAACAAACCUGCAAUUCUUUUCAGAGCCGAGGCCACAAAGUUCAGGUGUUUCAAUUCAAAAGUGAGGACAAAAUUGUUUACUCUGCGCUGGAGAAGCAGGGCACAGCAGAAGCAGCUCUGAUGACAGCCUGCCCCUUCUGCAACAGAGGUUAUAACUUGUUUUUAAUCACUGUUUGCUCUCUUUUAUUUCUUGUUUCAUUUUCAG